rnacentral:rRNA from 1 species
AUUGAACGCUGGCGGCAGGCCUAACACAUGCAAGUCGAGCGGGAUUUUCGGACCUAGCGGCGGACGGGUGAGUAAUGCGUAGGAAGCUACCCGAUAGAGGGGGAUACCAGUUGGAAACGACUGUUAAUACCGCAUAAUGUCUACGGACCAAAGUGUGGGACCUUCGGGCCACAUGCUAUCGGAUGCGCCUACGUGGGAUUAGCUAGUUGGUGAGGUAAUGGCUCACCAAGGCGACGAUCCCUAGCUGGUUUGAGAGGAUGAUCAGCCACACUGGAACUGAGACACGGUCCAGACUCCUACGGGAGGCAGCAGUGGGGAAUAUUGGACAAGGGGCGCAAGCCUGAUCCAGCUAUGCCGCGUGUGUGAAGAAGGCCUUCGGGUUGUAAAGCACUUUCAGUAGGGAGGAAGCGUUGUGGGUUAAUAGUACACAGCGUUGACGUUACCUACAGAAGAAGCACCGGCUAACUCUGUGCCAGCCGCCGCUGUAAUAC